GUCGGGGUGGCGGAACCGGUAGACGCGCAUGGUUCAGGACCAUGUGGGGUAACACCCAUGAGGGUUCGAGUCCCUCCUCCGACA
rfam:Candidatus Wildermuthbacteria bacterium RIFCSPHIGHO2_01_FTLL_49_22b rifcsphigho2_01_scaffold_1707, whole genome shotgun sequence.